rnacentral:rRNA from 1 species
UGGGGAAUUUUGGACAAUGGGGGCAACCCUGAUCCAGCCAUGCCGCGUGAGUGAAGAAGGCCUUCGGGUUGUAAAGCUCUUUCGGCCGGGAAGAAAUCGCAUGGGUUAAGACCCUGUGUGGAUGACGGUACCGGAAUAAGAAGCACCGGCUAACUACGUGCCAGCAGCCGCGGUACUAAGGAGGGUGCGAGCGUUAAUCGGAAUUAAUGUGCGUAAAGCGUGCGCAGGCGGUGUAGUAAGACAGGCGUGAAAUCCACGGGCUCAACCUGGGAACUGCGCUUGUGACUGCUAAGCUAGAGUACGGCGGAGGGGGGUGGGAUUCCACGUGUAGCAGUGGAAUGCGUAGAGAUGUGGAGGAACACCGAUGGCGAAGGCAGCCCCCUGGGCCGAUACUGACGCUCAUGCACGAAAGCGUGGGUAGCAAACA